UAAAAAUCAAUCAUUUCAGUGCCAUUUAUAUGUGGAAUGAAUGGAUAAAUUUUGUACAAAUCAUUUCUUUAAUUUUUCCAGGUGAAGGGGUUUGAACAAUCAUUAGCAUAUUAUGUUUCACAUCUUGAGAUUAGGUGCAAAGCAAUUUGACUGUACAUGAGAUUAUCAGUUCCAUUAAGCUAGGAUUUCUGGGAAGAAAGAAAAGAAAACCUAGAGACAUCACAAGCUAAUCAGAUCCAUUUUGUUACUAAGCUGAUAUCAGCAGUUAUUCCAUGUUAAGGCGACAAAGAUAUAGGAAACUUUUGGGAAUUUCAAGGCCACUUUAGCAAGUUGCUUUAUUCUCUAUGGAUGUAAAAAUGGCAAAGAUUAACAUAAUAAAAGUAUAUAACUGCCCAAAAUUAUCAAAGCACAAAUGAGAUGCAAAAAUAAAGAAAGUUUUAAUUACCUGUUU